UACGAAGGGGCUAGCGUUGCUCGGAAUCACUGGGCGUAAAGGGUGCGUAGGCGGGUCUUUAAGUCAGGGGUGAAAUCCUGGAGCUCAACUCCAGAACUGCCUUGAUACUGAAGAUCUUGAGUUCGGGAGAGGUGAGUGGAACUGCGAGUGUAGAGGUGAAAUUCGUAGAUAUUCGCAAGAACACCAGUGGCGAAGGCGGACUCACUGGCCCGAUACUGACGCUGAGGCACGAAAGCGUGG
rnacentral:rRNA from 1 species